GAUGAACGCUGGCGGCGUGCCUAAUACAUGCAAGUCGAGCGAACAGAUAAGGAGCUUGCUCCUUUGACGUUAGCGGCGGACGGGUGAGUAACACGUGGAUAACCUACCUAUAAGACUGGGAUAACUUCGGGAAACCGGAUCUAAUACCGGAUAACAUAUUGAACCGCAUGGUUCAAUAGUGAAAGGCGGCUUUGCUGUCACUUAUAGAUGGAUCCGCGCCGUAUUAGCUAGUUGGUAAGGUAACGGCUUACCAAGGCAACGAUACGUAGCCGACCUGAGAGGGUGAUCGGCCACAUUGGAACUGAGACACGGUCAAGACUCCUACGGGAGGCAGCAGUAGGGAAUCUUCCGCAAUGGGCGAAAGCCUGACGGAGCAACGCCGCGUGAGUGAUGAAGGUCUUCGGAUCGUAAAACUCUGUUAUCAGGGAAGAACAAAUGUGUAAGUAACUGUGCACAUCUUGACGGUACCUGAUCAGAAAGCCACGGCUAACUACGUG
rnacentral:rRNA from 1 species